GUCGCUUGCCAGGUCUUUGCAUCUCAUUCACAAUUGGUCGAUUGAACGAAAUCUGAUGAUGGGUGAUCUGCUUUCGUUACUGUCCCUGGAUGAGUGGCAAUCUCGUCCAAACUUUGCACAAGCGAAAUCUGACAAUGAAUGCUGUGGGUUCGCAAAAGGAAUCGAGGUGGUGGCUGCACGUUCUCAUUUGUCCUUUGCCUUCUUGUCUUUCUCGUUUUGCUUCGACUGCUAGGCGAGCGCCUCUACAAAUCUGCGCAGAGGUCUUUCUGUACUGUUUGCCAUCG